rnacentral:ribozyme from 1 species
GCAGAGGGCACACGGGACGCUUGUUGUGUCCCGUGUGUAAUGCACUCGUCAACCGAUGUUGGCGAACGGUCCCAAGUCCGU